rnacentral:rRNA from 1 species
GACGAACGCUGGCGGCGUGCUUAAAAACAUGCAAGUCGAACGGACUUCUCAUGAAGCUUGCGAUUGAGAAGUUAGUGGCGGACGGGUGAGUAACGCGUGGGCAACCUGCCCCUGAGCCCGGGAUAACAGUUCGAAAGGACUGCUAAGACCGGAUAUACUUGCGGUGAAGCAUUUCACUGCAAGGAAAGGGAACGCUCAGGGAUGGGCCCGCGUCCCAUUAGCUAGUUGGUGAGGUAACGGCCCACCAAGGCGACGAUGGGUAGCCGGCCUGAGAGGGUGAACGGCCACACUGGGACUGAGACACGGCCCAGACUCCUACGGGAGGCAGCAGUGGGGAAUAUUGGACAAUGGGCGCAAGCCUGAUCCAGCAAUGCCGCGUGUGUGAAGAAGGUCUUCGGAUUGUAAAGCACUUUCGACGGGGACGAUGAUGACGGUACCCGUAGAAGAAGCCCCGGCUAACUCGUGCCAGCAGCCGCGGUAAUGUCACGUCG